rnacentral:lncRNA from 1 species
AUCAUGAGCUCGGGCAUCUUCGUGACGCCCACGGGCGUGCUCAAGGAGGCAGGCUCGCCGGGGCUGGCGCUGGUGGUGUGGGCCGCGUGCGGCGUCUUCUCCAUCGUGGGCGCGCUCUGCUACGCGGAGCUGGGCACCACCAUCUCCAAAUCGGGCGGCGACUACGCCUACAUGCUGGACGUCUACGGCUCGCUGCCCGCCUUCCUCAAGCUCUGGAUCGAGCUGCUCAUCAUCCGGCCUUCAUCGCAGUACAUCGUGGCCCUGGUCUUCGCCACCUACCUGCUCAAGCCGCUCUUCCCCACCUGCCCGGUGCCCGAGGAGGCAGCCAAGCUCGUAGCCUGCCACUCCGUGCAUUGACUUGAUGCACAACAUCACAAAGGCGAUUUUUGAGAACUGAUAGUGCAUCAGCCGACCCAGGUAAUUUAAAAUAUUCUUCAUCCAGAGAUAGAGGUGGUUCUUCCUCUUACGGACUGCAACCUUCAAAUUCAGCUGUGGUGUCUCGGCAAAGGCACGAUGAUACCAGAGUCCACGCUGACAUACAGAAUGACGAAAAGGAGAGAUCAAUGUCUUAUUGUGAUGAGUCUCGACU